CGCGUAGGCGGUCUUGUCGGUCAGAUGUGAAAGCCCGGGGCUCAACCCUGGAAGUGCAUUUGAAACAGCAAGACUUGAAUACUGGAGAGGAGAGCGGAAUUCCUGGUGUGGAGGUGAAAUUCGUAGAUAUCAGGAGGAACACCGAUGGCGAAGGCAGCUCUCUGGACAGAUAUUGACGCUGAGGCGCGAAGGUGUGGGUAGCGAACAGGAUUAGAUACCCUGGUAGUCC
rnacentral:rRNA from 1 species